CCUUCGGGCGGCAGCAGUGGGGAAUAUUGGACAAUGGGGGCAACCCUGAUCCAGCCAUGCCGCGUGUGUGAAGAAGGCCCUCGGGUUGUAAAGCACUUUCAGUGAGGAAGAACGCCUGGUGGUUAAUACCCAUCAGGAAAGACAUCACUCACAGAAGAAGCACCGGCUAACUCCGUGCCAGCAGCCGCGGUAAUACGGAGGGUGCGAGCGUUAAUCGGAAUUACUGGGCGUAAAGCGCGCGUAGGUGGCUUGAUAAGCCGGUUGUGAAAGCCCCGGGCUCAACCUGGGAACGGCAUCCGGAACUGUCAAGCUAGAGUGCAGGAGAGGAAGGUAGAAUUCCCGGUGUAGCGGUGAAAUGCGUAGAGAUCGGGAGGAAUACCAGUGGCGAAGGCGGCCUUCUGGACUGACACUGACACUGAGGUGCGAAAGCGUGGGUAGCAAACAGGAUUAGAUACCCUUGUAGUC
rnacentral:rRNA from 1 species